rnacentral:rRNA from 1 species
AUUGAACGCUGGCGGCAUGCCUUACACAUGCAAGUCGAACGGCAGCACGGGAGCAAUCCUGGUGGCGAGUGGCGAACGGGUGAGUAAAGUAUCGGAACGUGCCCAGUCGUGGGGGAUAACGUAGCGAAAGUUACGCUAAUACCGCAUACGAUCUAUGGAUGAAAGCGGGGGAUCGCAAGACCUCGCGCGAUUGGAGCGGCCGAUAUCAGAUUAGGUAGUUGGUGGGGUAAAGGCUCACCAAGCCGACGAUCUGUAGCUGGUCUGAGAGGACGACCUGCCACACUGGGACUGAGACACGGCCCAGACUCCUACGGGAGGCAGCAGUGGGGAAUUUUGGACAAUGGGCGAAAGCCUGAUCCAGCCAUGCCGCGUGCAGGAUGAAGGCCUUCGGGUUGUAAACUGCGUUUGUACGGAACGAAAAGGUUUGGGCUAAUAAGCUGAGCUCAUGACGGUACCGUAAGGAUAAGCACCGGCUAACUACGUGCCAGCAGCCGCCGUAA